GAAAGUAAUGGCUGCCUGGCAUACGCAGCUUCUGUCUGGUUGGUAUUGCGCUGUCUUCCUUAAAUGACAUUUCAGUAAAAUGGAAGAGUUAACACGAUGCGGUACAGUGGGGGACGCGGAUAGCGGCUAACUCGGCUAAUUUAAUCGGGCAACCAGCUAACGCUAAGCUAACCCUCUGACAUACUGUCAGAGCGGCGGGCACACCGUGCCUUGAGGAAACCGGCUUCAUUGACAUUGAUAUUUUACAUAAACGUCAUCUUUAAAAACUAAUGUCUUAGUGUCACAAUUUAAUCAACAGGGGGUUUUAAGCUGCUCUGUUAACAGUACACUACGUACUAACAUUAUGGCAUCGUAGCCUGUAACAUUCAUUCAUGGUCAGGGCAGAAUGGAACGAGGCUAAAAUUAGCAGGGCGCACCUUUAAUGAAGACAGCUGUGCUCAGAUUUAAAUCGUGCCAUUACGUACUUCGUGACAUCUGUAACCUUUGUCUUUAUUACAUAAUGGACACUUGGCUUUUUUAAGGAACAGAUAAUAUUGUUUUUCAAUUAACCAUUUUAAUCAGAUUUUUAAAUAUCGAUAUUAAAGGUAUACUUUGCAAAGCAUGUGGCGAAAUAAAACAUUUCUAAUAGGUCGCAGAGAGCAUUUGAUUUUCUGUCAUGUUGAUUUUUAAUUAUGUGAAAUAUAAACUAUAAUAACAACAUAAUUUGCUGUCUAACGUGGCUAAGCAAGCCCAGUGCUCUGUUAGUUUAUAUGACGACUGCAAAGCUAUAUAUUUUGUGUCUGCAAAUUGUAUUUUGAAGUGCCUAAUUUAAAACACUGCUUAAUAGUUUUAAUAAAAAUGAUCUCAAAUGUGCAACCAAAGAGAAGAAAGAAGUUAAACAGUUAUCCUUUGAUAAUUUGAAGUGCCUAAUUUAAAACACUGCUUUGUAGUUUUAAUUGUAGUUAGUUAAACAGUUAUCCUUUGAUGGUACCUGGUACCAUUUGUUGUGUUGCUAAACUAGAGACUGUCAGCUGUAAAAAAAAUCUCUCUCACAAACUGAAAUCCCACUUUAUCUCUGGAGAAAUAGUAUGUCUCAGAAGCAGUUCUCUGCUGCGGAUCAGCCAGAGUCAGAGCAACCUCCCAACAGUCAGAUGAACAAGGCUGCAGGUCAUAG